UACGUAGGGUGCUAGCGUUGUCCGGAUUUAUUGGGCGUAAAGGGCUCGCGUGGUGCGUGUCGCGUCGGGAGUGAAAGCCCGCUGCUUAACGGCGGGUUGGCUUCCGGUACGGGCAUCGCUGGAGUGCGGCAGGGGAGACUGGAAUUCCUGGUGUAGCGGUGGAAUGCGCAGAUAUCAGGAGGAACACCGGUGGCGAAGGCGGGUCUCUGGGCCGUUACUGACGCUGAGGAGCGAAAGCGUGGGGAGCGAACAGG
rnacentral:rRNA from 1 species